rnacentral:rRNA from 1 species
UGCCAGCAGCCGCGGUAAUACGGAGGGUGCAAACGUUGCUCGGAAUCAUUGGGCGUAAAGAGCGUGUAGGCGGCUAUUUAAGUCGGAUGUGAAAUCCCUGGGCUCAACCUAGGAACUGCCUUGCUUGAGUCCGGGAGGGGAGAGCGGAAUUCCUAGUGUAGCGGUGAAAUGCGCAGAUAUUAGGAAGAACACCGGUGGCGAAGGCGACUUGCUGGACUGAUACUGACGCUGAGGAGCGAAAGCGUGGGGAGCGAACGGGAUUAGAAA